CAGAGCCGCGGUAAUACGAAGGGUGCAAGCGUUACUCGGAAUUACUGGGCGUAAAGCGUGCGUAGGUGGUGGUUUAAGUCCGUUGUGAAAGCCCUGGGCUCAACCUGGGAAUUGCAGUGGAUACUGGGUCACUAGAGUGUGGUAGAGGAUAGUGGAAUUUCCGGUGUAGCAGUGAAAUGCGUAGAGAUCGGAAGGAACAUCUGUGGCGAAGGCGACUAUCUGGGCCAACACUGACACUGAGGCACGAAAGCGUGGGGAGCAAACAGGAUUAGAUACCCCCGUAGUCCCUGUCUCUUAUACC
rnacentral:rRNA from 1 species